AAGGGUCAUACUAUGUUUACAAACAUAGUUCAGAUGAUUUAUCGUGAUUAUAUUUAUUUUUAGUCUUUCACCUCUAUCUGAUGACCUUU
rnacentral:snoRNA from 1 species